rnacentral:rRNA from 1 species
ACUACGGUGCUGAAGCAACAAAUGCCCUGCUUCCAGGAAAAGCCUCUAAGCAUCAGGUAACACGAAAUCGUACCCCAAACCGACACAGGUGGUCAGGUAGAGAAUACCAAGGCGCUUGAGAGAACUCGGGUGAAGGAACUAGGCAAAAUGGUGCCGUAACUUCGGGAGAAGGCACGCUGACACGUAGGUGAAGUGAUUUACUCAUGGAGCUGAAGUCAGUCGAAGAUACCAGCUGGCUGCAACUGUUUAUUAAAAACACAGCACUGUGCAAACACGAAAGUGGACGUAUACGGUGUGACGCCUGCCCGGUGCCGGAAGGUUAAUUGAUGGGGUCAGCGCAAGCGAAGCUCCUGAUCGAAGCCCCGGUAAACGGCGGCCGUAACUAUAACGGUCCUAAGGUAGCGAAAUUCCUUGUCGGGUAAGUUCCGACCUGCACGAAUGGCGUAAUGAUGGCCAGGCUGUCUCCACCCGAGACUCAGUGAAAUUGAACUCGCUGUGAAGAUGCAGUGUACCCGCGGCAAGACGGAAAGACCCCGUGAACCUUUACUAUAGCUUGACACUGAACAUUGAGCCUUGAUGUGUAGGAUAGGUGGGAGGCUUUGAAGUGUGGACGCCAGUCUGCAUGGAGCCGACCUUGAAAUACCACCCUUUAAUGUUUGAUGUUCUAACGUGGACCCGUAAUCCGGGUUGCGGACAGUGUCUGGUGGGUAGUUUGACUGGGGCGGUCUCCUCCUAAAGAGUAACGGAGGAGCACGAAGGUUGGCUAAUCCUGGUCGGACAUCAGGAGGUUAGUGCAAUGGCAUAAGCCAGCUUGACUGCGAGCGUGACGGCGCGAGCAGGUGCGAAAGCAGGUCAUAGUGAUCCGGUGGUUCUGAAUGGAAGGGCCAUCGCUCAACGGAUAAAAGGUACUCCGGGGAUAACAGGCUGAUACCGCCCAAGAGUUCAUAUCGACGGCGGUGUUUGGCACCUCGAUGUCGGCUCAUCACAUCCUGGGGCUGAAGUAGGUCCCAAGGGUAUGGCUGUUCGCCAUUUAAAGUGGUACGCGAGCUGGGUUUAGAACGUCGUGAGACAGUUCGGUCCCUAUCUGCCGUGGGCGCUGGAGAACUGAGGGGGGCUGCUCCUAGUACGAGAGGACCGGAGUGGACGCAUCACUGGUGUUCGGGUUGUCAUGCCAAUGGCACUGCCCGGUAGCUAAAUGCGGAAGAGAUAAGUGCUGAAAGCAUCUAAGCACGAAACUUGCCCCGAG